ACUGUAGAGAGCAGCAUCUUACUUCCAUGAUUUUGCACACCGGAAACUCAUAGGGACGCGAGGAAGAAGAGUAGGAGGCAAAAUCGUGUCGGUGAAGGGCCAAGACAGAAACUUGGGACAUAAAAUCAAAGAGAGAUACUAUCACAAUGCUUCCCCUAUCACUGCUGAAGACUGCCCAGAACCAUCCUAUGCUGGUCGAGCUGAAGAACGGAGAGACGUACAACGGUCACCUGGUCAGCUGCGACAACUGGAUGAACAUCAACCUGAGAGAAGUUAUCUGCACCUCAAGGGAUGGAGAUAAGUUCUGGAGGAUGCCUGAGUGCUACAUCAGAGGAAGCACCAUCAAGUAUCUGCGAAUCCCAGACGAGAUCAUCGACAUGGUGAAGGAGGAGGUGGUGUCGAAGGGCCGCGGACGAGGAGGCGCCCAGCAGAACAAACAGCAGGGCAAAGGAAGAGGAGGAGCCGGGCGAGGUCUGUUUGGCAGUCGUGGCAGAGGAAUGACCGGCCCGGGUCGGGGCCAGCAGCAGCAGCAGCAACAGCAGCAGCAGCAGCAGCAACAGCAGGAUAAGAAACCAGGAAAACCACAGGGAAUGAAGAACCAGCACUGACAGACAAUGCAGAACCUUCAACAACAGCACAUCCUCUUAUUCAGAGCUAUUACUCCUUCAGUACACGAAGACAGAAUUAACUCUCUGGUGUUUUCUUCUGCUGUGAUGUUUGUAAGAACUGACCGUUGCAGAAAUCACACUGGGAGAGGUUGAGAGAAGCUGCACUGAAUUUUGUUUUUUAGCAUCUGUAAGUUGGUAUUAACAUUUUUUUUAUGACCAUAUACCAGUGCAUCAGUCAGAGCUGAUAGACUUCUCCUUUAGUAUCAAUUUGUAAUAUUACAACUUCACAUUUUGUAUCAUAAAUCACAUCUAAUUAUCAUAAAAGAAAAAACAGUUUUCCCUCAGUUGGUACACUGGAAUGAGGUUUCUAUUUUUAGUUUUUUCAGUGGUUGGUUGUUUGUCAGCUUGUCUCCUCAGGUGUGGUUUUCAUUAAUGAAGAAACUGCCCAGCCCCAACUUAUGUUGCAUGAAUAUUUUGAAUAUUGAUUUUUUUUUUUUAAACUGGCUCUUUAUUUUCUGUGUUGUUUGUGACGUUCUGUUGUUUGCAACCUUUUUGUUUGGCUGCUGCAGUGAACAACCUGAUCACAGCAGGUGAACAGUAGACCAGCAGUCACCAGAUUGAGGAUUCAGUCUCUGAAAAGAAACACUUUUGUUAAAGCAUUUGUAAAUCACGACACGUGAUGAUGAUGAUGAUGGAGAAAAAAAUGUCUCAUGUUCUUAAGUCAGACAUGGAUGAGUGUCCGUUUGGUUAGGUUUCAUUUUAUUUUUGUAACACGAGACGAUGUUGUAAUUUAUUUACAUGAGAACAUGAGAAUAAAUCAACUUUUGUUAAAGCGGUUGUUUGGUCCUGUUACUGUUAUAAUUACCUUGGAUAAAUUUUAAAUUUUUACAUCUUAAGCCUGCAGAUCUAGAAUGAGUGAAAAGUAGUUUCUGUGGAGCAUAUGGUGGAUAAUAAGUUCAAAUUAAAUUGACAGUAUUAAUUAUGCUGGGCUCUGAGUCAGUGGUAAAGUGGUUUUCAUGUGCAGAAAAGAAGCUUUAAUUAACUGACCACUAUAUUUCAACUGUUAGAGAAAAAAAGAAAAUCAGUUUAAACUCAAACUAGAUAUUUACAGUAUGAAUGACAGAUGAAGUCUUAGGCUCCACAUUUAUAUAUAAAUUGAUUUACUGAUUAGUUGACACAAAUGGAGAUGUAAACUAAAUGUAAUAAUCAAUUAAUGACUUAAUCCUUAAGCACACAGAAAAUUAACAUUUACUGCUUACAGCUUCAUAACUGAAAGGUCAUAUGUAUUUCAUUGUAAUACAAAUCAGAUACCUCUACCUCUGGUUUUUGUGAGAGUGAUCAAACUAAAUUUUUUUUUUUUCCUUACAAAACUUCUUGCUGACAAAUGGAUAAUCCUAAUAGUUGGAAGGAUAUCAGGCAAUAAUUAAAAAUGUAUGUUACAAUUAAUCAGUGUUUGGCUGCUGCAUUGUGGUUAUUAAAUCUUAAGUCUUUUAAUGUGCCAUCUAAUUAUUGUUGUUCUGAAUAUGCCUCACACAGUUUUCUUGUAUUUAAACUUGUUACACAGAAUGACAUUUUAGUGAGUGUCCUCUAUAAAUCACGGUAAAAAUGUACAGUGAUUAUUUUUUGCUCAGAAAACAUUAGAUAGGACACAUUCCAUAGUACAGAAAAAAAUUACAAAAUUUCAAGUUGUGUUACACUUUUAUUUUGAAACAAGAUAACCUCUUUCCAACCUCAAGCUGUCAUGGCCAUCUUUUAUAAUAUACCAUGAAUAUUGUUGCAGUAACAGUAUGCUCAGCUAUACUUUUUCUUGUAACUUAAGAAGUACACUAGGCAAGUAAUUAAUAGGCAAGAUACCUUGUACACUACA